UACGGAGGGUGCAAGCGUUAUCCGGAAUCACUGGGCUUAAAGGGCGCGUAGGCGGGCGGGCAAGUCGGAGGUGAAAUCCCACAGCUUAACUGUGGAAUAGCCCCCCGAUACUGCUCGUCUGGAGGGAGAUAGGGGGCGUGCGGAACUUCCGGUGGAGCGGUGAAAUGCGUAGAUAUCGGAAGGAACACCGGUGGCGAAAGCGGCGCGCUGGAUCUCUUCUGACGCUGAGGCGCGAAAGCCAGGGGGAGCAAACGGG
rnacentral:rRNA from 1 species